rnacentral:rRNA from 1 species
CACGUAGGGGCAAGCGUUGUCCGGAUUUAUUGGGCGUAAAGGGCGCGUAGGCGGUCACGCACGUCCGGGGUGAAAUCUUUCGGCUUAACCGGAAAAGGGCCCUGGAUACGGCGUGACUGGAGGGGGAGAGGGGCGGACGGAACUUCCGGUGGAGCGGUGAAAUGCGUUGAUAUCGGAAGGAACGCCGGUGGCGAAAGCGGUCCGCUGGAUCCCUACUGACGCUGAGGCGCGAAAGCCAGGGGAGCGAACGGG